CUAAAUACAUUAUAAUUAAAAGUGUUAACAUAUAUGAAAUUUGCCAUUUUAUAAAAUAAAUAAGUAUAUUCGAGAGUUGUUAACAAGUGAUUCAAUAGUUCGAGUGUCUCAGCUUUCUGUGCUUGUAAAUUACAGAACACACAUACGAGGUGGCAGAUGUCGAAGAGGAGAAUACAAGACUUGAUGUUUCGCAGAAUAAAACAUCAAUAAUAGAACACACAUACGAGGUGGCAGAUGUCGAAGAGGAGAAUACAAGACUUGAUGUUUCGCAAAAUGAAACAUCCACAAGAGAUUCUGCCUUUGAAAAUGCAUCUGAUAUGGCGUACGAAGAAUUAGGAAAUACUGCAAAAAGUUGUCAUCUUUAUGAACGCAUUGGUGGUAGCAAUUUCUGAUUGUCUGAAAUCAGUUAUACCGAUCGUAAUGGAGUAUCAUAACUUAACUUGUAAAUGUGUGUGUCACUGAUGUGUUAAAAUAUUAAAUAUAAAUUUAUUUGUAAAUCAUACCAAACUUUUUUCUUCUUAGGCGUCUUAUCAAGCUAUCCGCAGCGGGGUGCGAGAACAGCCGCUGCAGAGACUUUGUGAUAUCAGACAGACCUCUGAUUUACAUUGAAAUAUAGAAGGAUUAAAUUUUGUUUUGACCAUUCUUAUUUCCUGCUUUAAUAUUUAAAUUUAUCACUGUUCCUACCAUAAAAUUCAUUUUCUUA
rnacentral:lncRNA from 1 species